UGUAAGUGCCGGCUUUCCUUGACUGAUGGUUCCGGGAAAAAAAUUACUCACUGACUGGAAAUUGGUUGUUAUCUUUGAGAAAAGAAGCAUUUACUGCUUGGGGGAUUUAAGAUUGGGUCCAAAAACUAUCACCCCUAUUCUUGACAAAUGAUCACAUAUUUUAGAAGAUGGAUACAUCUUUUUCAUAUAGACAGCAUUUCCUGACAAAUCCGAAGAAGACCAAGUUUCUCUGCACACAGUUUGCAGUCUUGUGGGCUUCAUGGAUGCAGCUCUUACCUCCUCAGCACAGACUCCUCAAUCAUGACAUGAGGGGAUACGCUUUCAGCAUCCAUCUUUGACUGGAACCAUUCCAGUGACAAGAGAGAUAAUUACAAUGGCGAGAAACCCAAUUGAAAACCUGGCUUCGUGGGUUGGGAUGCAGACAAAGCAUUGCAAUAGCCCAGUGCCUCGGUGAAGGCUGUAUUUCACAUCCCAACAACAUGGAACAAAUUGCACAAACUCAAGGAAUUAGAUCCCUUGGUAACAAAUAUUGAAGUCACUUUUUAAAAUGUCACCAAAUGGCUCUGUUAACUCUGUUUUGUAACAAGUGAGAGGCAGAUGGCACUUUGAAGUGUAUGAUGCAUCUUGGAAGAGCAAAAUUGCUCAGGCAUUUUUGUCUAGUUUGCUAAGAUGGAGUGACAAUGCCCCAGAUGAAAGGUGCUUGGCAUGCCCUCACACAAAAGGCUGAGUACCAUUGAGGUACUUACACUGUUUGCUGUAAGUUGGGUUUCCUGAAGGCUUACAAACUUGCAGAAUGAAAGUUGCAAAGCAAGGGGCUGCAGGGGGUGAGGGAAGAAAGUUCCCAUCUUCUGAAUGCCUACAAUGCAUUUCAUGUAGUUGGUGACAAUUAUACAGCUUAUUUAAUCCUCUGCAAUU
rnacentral:lncRNA from 1 species